CUCUCCUGGGUAGAAGGAAGAAAAUGUCGUCGGAAAUGGAAGGAAGAGGGAAAUGGGAAAUGCCGAUGUAAAACGUCAAACAGCAUCCAUUCCCUCAAAAACAGUGGAAGUUGAAUCAGUGAGUUUAUUCAGUCCUGUGACGUGGGUAGUUGAUGAAGAAUCUUGACUGGCUGACUGUUCAGGUUUUUGAUGCUUUAACAAAGGAUGAGUUGAUUGCAUUCGGUGGACACUUCAGGAUAGAUGUUACAGACCCUGAAGCGUGCUACAUGGAACUGAAUGGAACGAAAAGAAAUGCUUUGGAGAGAGAACUCAGAAAGACCAGGAUUCUAACCUAGGACCUCAUGCAGCAUUGCCAGUCAGGUGCUUUACCCACAACUAUCUGGACACCAGGAAUAAAACUUGACUGAUCACUAAGGAUGAUGUCUAAAGAUUGAGUUUUCACUGCAGACAGUUUUCUGAGUUUAUAAGUUUCAAUGGUUUUGUGACAAAGAAGCUUUUAAUGCAGUCGAUAUUUACACCAUAAAAUUGGAUAAUCAGAAAUUUCAUCUCUUUGCAUUUUGGCCGUGCGAUGAUAGUGUUAAGAGAGUGUGUGUGAUGGUGUUUGAUGGUGUUCAUGUAGAUCUUGAAUUGUCAUAUGUACCUGUGUUUCAUCCAUUUUCUUUUGAUGUGUAUCAGAUGUUGUAAAUAUGGAAAAUGAAGGACCUGCAGUUAUAUAGGUACUUAACAACAAUUGUCUUAAUUCCUUCCAAGUUUGAGUUAUUUUGUAUGAGGUUGCGAUAUUUACCAUUACAUAACCUUGCAAUGUGGGAGACCCAGAUUGCUGAGAAAUUGUUUCAUGGCAGUGUGUCAUUUCAAUAAUGCUUGCAUGCUGUAAACAAAAAAGAAUGUUCUUAAAGAUAUGAUAACAGUCGUAUUUGGCCCCUCAAAGGAAAUUUCUAACCCAGAUUUUUAUUAUCUCUGGCUUGCUCUUUUUGUCUGUAUCUUGCACUGUGGUUAUAAUUGGUAUGCUGAAGAUCAAAAGUAAGUGAUUGUCAAAGCUUAAGGUUUUAUAUCAAGAUCAAUGCUAAAUCGUGUGAAAGUGUUGUUGCUCUAUUUUUAUGUUGGUCAGGUUAUAAAAUGAUACCCCUUUCUGCCCAGUACUCUGUCAUUCCAUCAUUCUGUCAUAGUGAUAGUUUUUAACUGUGUUUGUAGAUAAUGAGAUAAUAAUUGGUAUUUAUCUCUUUAUGUUGGUGACUUAAUUCAGUGAUAGUUUUAUGUAGGUUGACCUAUUUUCACCAAAGUUUAAAUAUUGCCUUUGAAAAUUUCUGUUUAUUAUUCAGUUUUCUGUACUAUCAGAUCAUAAGCAGAUUUCUAACAUGUUCUUAGAGAGUAGAGUAGUAUUUAUUACCAAAUCUGGGGCCCAGCAUAAACAUGUAACAUAUUAUAUAAUUAUUGACACAAGUGAAGACAAUACACAGUGAAGAGUCAUUCUUCACAUUAAUAAACUGUCAUUCCUGAUAUUUAAAGUUUCAUAUGUAGACAUCAAUACUCAGUUGAAAUGUAAACAUGUGCAUUAUCCCUAAUGCAAUAUAUAAUGUGCCUGAUACAUCAACAAGAGGCAGCAAGAGUCAGUGCUAAAGGAUAUAAAACAGAAAUCCACUUCAGCCUCAUGUAGAAUAAGCAGAUACAUAAUAUAUAGAUUAAAUGUUGAAUCGCAUGUGUAAAAUAAUAUAUAUUAUAAUAAUUUACAUAUUUAGCAGAUUUUUAAUGUGUACCUACCUAAUAAUAACUCAAAGAUCAAGCUUAACUUUCCUCUAGUGACCUUCUUCAUCAGAGUAAUUGCCCUUGGACUUAAAAAAAUGUCCUAGUUAUUAAUGACUUUUUUCCCCACAGACAUUAAUUAAUUAACAAAUAGCAUCAUUAAUUAUGUAAUUAGUAUCUUAAUUCAUUACAAGAUCCACUUUGCAGUACCAAUUGCCUUAAUUCUAAUUUACCAAUAUGAUAUUCUAUUCUUGUUUCAUUUGCACCCAAAUGUUAUUUUCACACUGACAUAUCUAAUUUUUAUACAUAUUUUAAAUGAAAAGCCCAUUUUCCUCAGUUAGUAAUUACAAUAAUUUGAUAGGAGUGUUCAUACAUGUAUUGAGUCUAACCACACUGUAUGAAAUUGAUUUGAGAGUUGCCUCCCUUAGACCACAAACUUACAGCAUGUUCCCCUUGUGCUGUUUUUGUAGGCAGUGUACAGAGUACAAAACAUCAGAUGAUUUUAUUCCACUUGACAUGUUUAGAACACUUAGUCACAUGAUACUUUCUAGAAUAUUUAAUUAUUGAUGUUUGUCAUGGAACUUUUAAAAAUAAAAAUUGACAGUGCACUAGAAAUCCUGGCAGAAAUUUUCUGAUGUUGGAUCACAGUGUUUUUGUGAUUAGGGAUCAUUGUUUGAUGCUGAAAACACAGAGGUUGAUUAUAACAAAUAUCUUAACUUCUUCAUCAGAAUUCUAAGUUUUGUUCUAAUACACUUCUUCUGGUGUAGUAAAAAAAUCUCAAGGUUAUCUAAAACAAUGCUAACCCACUUCCUGGCCUAUCAAUAUAAGAGUGCUUUCUUCUGAAAUCAUUACUGUGUGUGAAAAUGAUAUUAUGUAACUUGCACUUUCACGCAAUGAAAACAAACAUGGUGCAGAAAAGAUACAGAGUAAUAAAUUGCAAGCUCCUUGAUCCAUGAGGAAUCUUGCUAUUGUGUGCGAUAUCUAAUUUUUCUUCUAGUGAGCAAGGUUUUUGACAACCUGCUGGGAAGGUGUGUGAAUGUGGAAUCUGAGAAACUGAAUAAAAUGUCAACAAAUUAAUUGUCAAGUAAAACAAGAUAAUGGAGAGAGAGAGCCUAUUGUGUCAGCUGAUUGAUGGGAGGCCAGGGAUUCUUUUCAUUUGGCAGACAUUGUGGAAAUGGAAAUGAGGAAUCUAUAAGCAUUCCUAAUAGCUGCACACCACACAAGGAAACAGAUGAUGGAAUUUAAUAGGGAUCAACACCAUGUUAUAAAAUUUGCAAUUGAAUUGAAAGGAGAAGAAUUUUAAUUUGAUUACAACAAAAGUUGUAUUCUAAGUUUGAUUUUUGUAAAGCUUUUAUUUAUGGAGGCAGGAUUAAUGAGGAGGGGGGUGAUAAGAAAUGUACAACAUUGGUCGUUUUUAUGUGGAAGUAGGAAUGCUAUUUCUAGUAGUCAGUUUCUCGUUCAAGUGAUAUUUCUAGUGAAUGAACUUGUUUCUUCAGGCUGAUUUACACUCUCUCAGUAUAAAUUAUUAGUGAAGGUCAGGCUGUGUUUUACCCCUGACGUAUACACACUUUGAUAGAAUCGGUAGGGUGUCGUUUAGUGUAAUGGGGUGAGAAUAUUUGUCACUUCUUACCUUGUAUGGAUGAUACAUAUUUUUGUUCUAGGUAUUGCGGCUUCUUAACCCAUCAAAAGGCAAUUUAAAAUGAUAAAAUCUUAGGAAAAUUGACUGUUGCUUUAAUAGGUGUCAUAAAAUAUCUACCUAUAGAAGAUAAAAUACACAGAAUUAGAGAGAAUUUCCCCCAGAAUAUAGUGUUUGUCUGACAUUAUAGAGGAUUUUAACAAUCCGUUAUUCUGCAAUUUUUAGCCCAUCCUUCACCAUGUAUAGAUAUCUGUGUAUCCCGCCAUUCAAAAGGUGACAUACUGCUGGUGCUUCUCGUGUAGUACUACAUCAAGCUUUGUCAGUAAUCCCCAAUCAUCUUCACAUUAAAGAACAUCAGAUCUCCUAAGCUCUCUGUCAUUAAUGGAGAAUGCUUUAUUUGUAACAAAUAUACAUGUAAUCUUGUUAUAAAAUAUUUCGGACUGUCACGAAGUGUAUUAUGUACAUGUACCAGCCCAUAAUUCUGACACUUUUGUAAUGUGAAGGUAAUCCUCUGCCAUUUCGUUCACCCUCAAUUCCUUGUAUAAAUAUCACACACUUGCACCUACGACAAGAAGUGAAAUUCUGGUCCCCCUUUUUACUGCUGUACCCGAAUUCCUGGGAUAAGGAACGGUUGCCAUACAGAGCAUCAGCAACCCAGACAUGUUGUUGUCCCCCCUGACAGUGUUUGUAGUGUGACAAUGAAAUCCGAACAGCUUCACAUACAAGCCUGGAAUGUGCUGCUCUGGUCUGAUACCAGUCUUUACACUCUCUGUCUUCAUAUUCAUCUCAUUGAUUUUAUCCUCUUAAUGAAAUUCAGGUAGUUUAAAAGAUUAAUACUCUCUCUCUCUCUCUCUUUCUCUCUCUCUCUCUCUCUCUCUCUCUCUCUCUCUCUCUCUCUCUCUCUCCAACAAAAGGUCAGCUAUGAUGUUUCAGCAAUGUUAUUCAGAACUUUAUAUUGUUAGAAUUAAUGGGUUCACAAGAAGGGGAGUUGAAGACAAGGAGAAGCAUUAUUUCGAGUAAAUUCCAUUAGUACUGUGUAUUCAUUCGAACCCAUACAUAAUUGUUGUUAAGCCAUAUUUUCCAAUUAAACAACCAUUAUUGGGCAAAUUACAGGCACUUUGGACUCUGUGAUUGAUUUUUUCUACAUGAUAGUAAAUAUCACUUUUGGACAAAUUAUGAAAGUUAAAUACCACCUGUAUUGAAAUUUUGUGCCAUUAAACUUUCGAUUUGAACUUUUUAUUAACACAGAGAUGCCAUGUUCUUUUUAAGAGGUGCUACCAUGCAUGCUUGACAGCAGUGAAGAAAAUUGAUAAUUUGACUGCAGUAACCCUGAAAGGAAGUGAUCGGAAAUGAAGUUGACAUAAAAAAUCUUGUCAUGAUUGAAAAUGGCACAAAUAUUGCAAGAAGUCAGAAUGGCAUUCAUUUUAAUGACUAGUUUAAAAAAAAAACUAAAAAAUUAAGAAUAAACUCGUUAAUAAAUGAUGGGUCUGUUAUCGUAUUUUUACAUGUUAAUAUUAUUAAAUGAUUUGUCUGGGGGGAUGGCCCUUUGAAAAUGAAAUGAAAUAUUAAAUAGAAUUGAAAUGAAAGUCAGACAGUAGUUUUUUUUUUCUUUUGAGUGAUGUUGUUCAUGUUUAGCAAGACUUCUCCUCUCCCCUGCUGAGAAAUUUUAAUUUCUGUCAUUUUGUUAAUUUUUUCUUGAAGCAUUGCCUCCUGCUGCUAACUUUACACUUCAUUAGAGGGCAUGCACAUUUCUCUUCUUUUCCUUUCAUUUUUUCGUUAUCAAGCUAUACCACAAAAUGUUUAGAUUCCAAUUCCAGUUGUCAUAUUAGAAGAAGAAAAAAGACAUUGUGUAUACAUGCAGGGUUAAAAAACUUAAAAGACAUUGCUUUUAUUGUAGUGUAAAUUGAUUUAUGAUAACAAUGUUUGUUUUUCUUGAUUGUUUUUUUUUCUGGUGUCAGUGGAAUUCUUUUUUCAUUAACUGGGGAGUGCAACACCUCUAUGUAACCCAACUCGUUGGUUAAGUCAACAUUUCUACCAUCCAGAAUUGUCUCUAUAAACAUGAAGAGUCAACAGAAAUAAAAAUCACACAGAGUUUCUUCAUCUUGGAAACUGAUAAAUUAGGCUUUAAACAGACCAUUAUCAACACUGGUGCAUGUCCCCCUGAACGAACACUGCCGGCAGAGCUCAAAAAACAAGCAAUAAGUUGGGUGUUUGCAAUCCCCUGUAUUAAAGUUUCUUUGAGGUUUGGGGUGAUUUUCCCAAUCCUGUCAAUCGAAGACAGAAAUUCUAUUGAAUUUUUUUACACACCUGUGAGGCAACUAAGAAUUAUCAUUCAGAUAUCUUCAAGAAGAUUUUUAUCAUUUCCUACGAUUUUCUGAUUUUCAAUUUAAAUGAAAUCCUCUUAGAGUUGAAAAUGAAAAGAAGUACAAUUUAACAGGCCAGGGAUAUGAAGUCGGAUCUGUACCACAUCAUGCAAAGUGGCAUUUUGGCAACAUUGUUGGAAGGUCAACAAAGGCGACGAUUACUUUAAGGCAUGAAAAACUGCCAGCUGUACGCUUUUUUUACACUGACAUCAUCAUAUUCAUGAAACAGAAGAGAACCUGCCAUGAGAAAGUUUUUCCACUGAUCAGUUUUCUGUACUGGAGAAGGGAGUUGGGAUUGAGGAUCCUUGAGAGAGAGAGUUAUUGCAUCAUUGAAGGAGUAUGGGGUAUGUCCUUUAUUUGACACUGUGGCUUUUAUUGUCCAGCUUCUGGGUUUAGGUGUCAAGUAUCUCAACAGGAUUAGCUGUAUUUGAACCUUUGGGAGACAAAAAAGGAAGAUGGAUUUACAAAAAUAGAUUUUGUGGUGUAAAAACACUAAACAUUGCUAGGCUUUGUUUUCUAAGAGAAUUAAGUGAAUCUGAUUCAGAUGCUUGUCUACCAUUUCCUUACUUAGAAAAAUGAAACUUUUUUUUAUAAUUACUACUACAGUAUGAUAUUCAUGUGCUUUUAUUUUAAAAGUUCUGAGUAAUAUAGUUCCUGAGUACUAUAUUUUCAUAAAAUGAAACAUCUUUGAAGUUUACCUAUUUUGACUUCCUCCUCAUGGGUCAGUGAUCUCAACUGUGUUUGAUAUCUUAUUUAGUUGUUUUCAGAGACAAGACAAUUGUAUCUGAUGAUGAAUAAUGAAAGAUGUCCAAGUUGAAUCCAUCCAAUUAUUGUGGUCAUUUUCUCCUGCAGGGACCAACUGAUUAAAGAGAUAAGCAUCAAAUUAGAAAAGCACAAAGUUGCUCUCUUUCAUUUGGAGUAUUAUGGAUGGGCUAAUGAUAUUGUUUUGUGGUGAGUUGAUAAUAAGGCAGCAGGUGGUUGUGGUUAUCUCUGUGUUGGUCCCUUACUCUGUUUCAGGUGGGAUUUUCCGAGGAACAAUUCAAUGUUCAUCAGGAAAGAGUUGGAAUCAGUUGUUCCAGAUGUGGAGACUUGAUAAAAAAUGCAGAUUGCAGUCAACUUACUGUGAGUGAAAAAGUACACAUGAAUUGAAUGAAAUGGACCUGUCCUCUUGCAUCACCUCUGCAGAAUUCUCAAAGAAGAGGUUUAAAUUUGGAAAUUACAAAGCUCUGCUGAAUGUCAAUUAGUAUUCUUCAAUGAGCCAAGAGGCAAGCAAUUAAUCAUUGGAUCCACUGAGACCAGAAAAUGCAGCAGUUUUGAUGUGUAUGCAAAGAGCUGAUAACUGACUUUUUUAUGGAAAUGAAGAGAAAAACUCAAGAGACUGCCAAACUCUUAAAGAAGCUGGAGCAAGGGUGAAGGACAACAUUUCCAGCAUUGCAGAAUAAACACAUCUUUAAAAUAUUUGAUUGGAAGAGGAGAGCAAAGAUCUAUGUUAAAAUGUGAUGCUGGUGUGGCAGCUCAUUAGAAAUGCUAAGAAAGCCAGGCGAAGUCUGGACAGUGUUUAUAGUACAGAUCUGUCUCUCCUGAAGUGUGUCAUCACAGUAUAUAACAUAAAAAUAGAUAGGCAUGGAUACAGGGGGUACCAAGGAUCUGACAUGCCACUCCCUGGAGACUGAUGUCACUGGAGAACGGACACCUAUUGCCAUAAUGGAAAAUGUCAGCUUUUCCGACAUGGAGGUUCUAAACUGAAUGCCUUUUAAACAGAAUCCUAAGAAUACAUGUGUGUAGUAGAUUUUUUCCACAGAUAGAUCUUGAGAUUGAACGUUUUGUACUGAGAUAGAGCGAUAAAAGGAGUUAAAUUUAGGAUCUAGUCUUAAAACAGAGAACCAAGGCACGCUAAACGUCAGACGUCAGAGGUGCAAGCAGAAACAAAGGCUUUCAAUGAGCACACCAACAACACCGCGCUUUGUCGCAGCCUUCCGAUGACUCCAAAUCGUGGGUACUUAUCUUCAUGGCGAUCACUUCGAUAAACUACAAAGACGAAUAUAAACUUCCAUCGUUUGAUUAUCGAAUAAGUAGAAACAAUUACGACUUAAUUUAUUCUCGUUACGGAACCACUGGAUACGGCAAAGUGCCCGGAUAAGGAUCAGGCACGCCUCCAUUGUGACGUAGCAACAAUUGCAAAGAUGAGCAGCGCUCUUGCAUUUAUCGAAUCUGAAAAUCUUUCAAAUGGAGUAAUUUCAAAGAAUGUUGCCAAAUAUUGAACAAUUCAUUAUGAUGACUUAUUUAACUUGGGUAUGUGAUUGCACUUGAUAACACCAAGUAUCUCCGCGGCGACGUGAAGCGUCGUGAUUCUAAUAUCAAUGUGUAUCAGAGGAUUCGCACCUGAUGCGCUCUCUUUAGAUCGAUAUAGAGAUCAUUUGAUCAGCUCCUUACAUGAACGGUAUUCUAUAACACAAACAGGUGGCUAUUUCAAGGCGAUUGUUGACUUGUUUCGAUGAUUCUGUAUUCUUAAUACAUCACCUUCGCGUUGACGUCAUUCCAAUAUAUGCAGUUGAGAUUCCUCUCAGUGAUAAUCUGUUGCUCACCUAUUUAGGUUUGACCUUUGUUGUGACGUCCAAAAACAACUACUUGUAUUUACAAAUUUCUAAUAAAAAGUGUGAAGAAUCAUGAAGGACAUCUGCAAUUAACGUGUCGCUGAAUUAAAUAUGUUCACAUUAUAGAUAUAUACAUAUAAUUAUUAUAUAACUUAAAAUGAAUACAAAAGUAACACAUA